rnacentral:tRNA from 1 species
GGGUGGAUAGCUCAGUGGUAGAGCACAUGCCCAGUGUGGAUGAGGUUCUGGGUUCAAUCUCCAGUACCUCCA